AGACCCGAAACCCGGUGAUCUAGCCAUGGGCAGGUUGAAGGUUGGGUAACACUAACUGGAGGACCGAACCGACUAAUGUUGAAAAAUUAGCGGAUGACCUGUGGCUGGGGGUGAAAGGCCAAUCAAACCGGGAGAUAGCUGGUUCUCCCCGAAAGCUAUUUAGGUAGCGCCUCGUGAACUCAUCUCCGGGGGUAGAGCACUGUUUCGGCUAGGGGGCCAUCCCGGCUUACCAACCCGAUGCAAACUGCGAAUACCGGAGAAUGUUAUCACGGGAGACACACGGCGGGUGCUAACGUCCGUCGUGAAGAGGGAAACAACCCAGACCGCCAGCUAAGGUCCCAAAGUCAUGGUUAAGUGGGAAACGAUGUGGGAAGGCCCAGACAGCCAGGAUGUUGGCUUAGAAGCAGCCAUCAUUUAAAGAAAGCGUAAUAGCUCACUGGUCGAGUCGGCCUGCGCGGAAGAUGUAACGGGGCUAAACCAUGCACCGAAGCUGCGGCAGCGACACUGUGUGUUGUUGGGUAGGGGAGCGUUCUGUAAGCCGUUGAAGGUGUCCU
rnacentral:rRNA from 1 species